UCGCCUGUUUAUCAAAAACAUGUCUUUUUGUAUUUUAUUUAAAGUCUAACCUGCCCAUUGAAUAAUUUUAAAAGGCUGCGGUAUUUUGACCGUACAAAGGUAGCAUAAUCAUUAGUUUUUUAAUUGAAAACUCGUAUGAAUGGUUGAACGAAAUAUUUUCUGUUUCAUAAAAAUUUAUAUAGAAAUUAAUUUUUUAGUCAAAAAGCUGAAAUAUAAUUAAAAGACGAGAAGACCCUAUAGAGUUUUAUAUAAAUUAAAUUAUAAUUUAUUUAUAAUAAUUAAAAUUUUAUUUUAAUUUAUAUUUUGUUGGGGUGACAAUAAAAUUUCAUAACCUUUUAUUAUUUUUUAACAAUGAUUUUUGAAUAUUUGAUCCAUUCUUAGUGAUUAAAAGAUUAAAUUACCUUAGGGAUAACAGCGUAAUUUUUUUGUAGAGUUCUUAUCGAUAAAAAAUUUUGCGACCUCGAUGUUGGAUUAAGAAUAAUUUUAGGUGUAGAAGCUUAUUAAUUAGGUCUGUUCGACCUUUAAAUUCUUACGUGAUCUGAUUCAGACCGGA
rnacentral:rRNA from 1 species